rnacentral:rRNA from 1 species
UACGAAGGGGGCUAGCGUUGCUCGGAAUCACUGGGCGUAAAGGGUGCGUAGGCGGGUCUUAAGUCAGGGGUGAAAUCCUGGAGCUCAACUCCAGAACUGCCUUUGAUACUGAGGAUCUUGAGUUCGGGAGAGGUGAGUGGAACUGGCGAGUGUAGAGGUGAAAUUCGUAGAUAUUCGCAAAGAACACCAGUGGCGAAGGCGGCUCACUGGCCCGAGUACUGACGCUGAGGCACGAAAGCGUGGGGAGCGAACGA